UCUCUAAACUUUUUGAAUCACGCACCCCCUGGGCCAGCUCUGGGAAAGGAAAAAAAAAAAAAAAAGAAGAGCUGCCGCCGGCAUGCCACUGAAGACGGAAUGGGGAGAGCCGAGCUGCCGCCGGCAUGCCGCCAAAGAAUCAAAGGUCCAAGAGCGCUGCUGCUGCCAUGCCGGCGGUGCUUCUUUGGCGGUGCUCCUCCUGCCGCGCACCCCCAGGGAUGGUCUUGCGCACCCCCUGGGGUGCGCGCACCUCACUUUGGAGACCACUGAUCUAGACUGUAAAAUAGGGCA